UUCUUCGUCUGGCCUGUUAUCAAUUUCUACUGAUUAGAGUCCAAGAACCCAGGUCAGUAACAAAUCCAGCCCAUCAGUUAACUGCACAGAAAGGACACCUGCACAGAAAGGACAAAGGGGACAAUCUACCUAGUUGGACACUUCAACUCAGAGCUCACUAGUUGAGCAGAUCACUUAAGGGAAGAAAGAAGCUACUGAAUGUUAAACUAACUGGUUAAACUAGGUUUUGUGUGUUAGAAGGUGAUCAACAUCCUUACCACAUGCAUAGUGAAGUUAUCUACCACAUAUAAGAGAAUAGUUCCAGUACAGAAUACAGCAGAAACCUCAUAAUCUGAACAAUGAAAUUUAGAGUGAAAGUAAUUUGGACAUUUAAAACAUACCCAAUGGCUUCUGAGAUUAAAGGUAAAACAAGUGUGAGGAUACAUCAACUGUCAUGACUCAAUGAGCCAUCAAAGAAAGGGGGUGAUGGCAACAGUACUGAGGAGUGGGGGUGGGGAGGGGAGCCGGGAGUCACACAAAGGUUUGAGAAAGGGAGUCAGAGUAGGAAAACGUCGCUGCAGGAGGCCAGUGUCUCUACGGACCGACAGCAGGAAGUUGGGGCCGGCACCUCCCUCAGAGCGAUUUAAACCGGAACCGGACCCACACUCCCAGGACCGAACAGAGUCUUCUGCCGACGUCGCGAGACGCGAAAGGGGCGGACUCAGAGCGAGAGCGACGACCGCGUUCAGGGGGGUUUAACUUACCGGGAGACCCCCGAAACCGAGGUGUGGAGAAGCGGGGCCUGAAGAUUGCAUAGCGCCGUUAGUUUCGGACCGAAAAACCGAGACUCACUCGCGAGAGAGCGCCCCUCGUUCUGGGUCUGCACCUCACUGCGCGUGCGCAAAGAGGCGGGUCGAGGGCGGGGCCAUUAAGGGGCGCGUCAAAGGACGUUCCGGUGGGUGAAGCGGUGUUUGAUGGCUGGGCGCAGCCUGUGGACGCCGGGUGUGGCCUUCGAACCCGCACUUGGGAGAUUCUGGUCUGGUCCUCUUCCCAACGGAGAGGUUCUGCUUCUCUACUUUGGAUCGUUUGAACUGAUCUGGUGUCCUUUGGAGCCAGGCUAGGUGCAGAAGCGGAGAGGCCCCUGAAUUUUGGACCACGCUUGAGCACUGUAAUUCAGAAGAAGCCUGUUGCCACACCAUCCACUCCCAAGAGUAGGUGACUUAAGGGUAAAACGUUCCCUGAUCAACUGUGCGUCAUGCCACCUGCUCAUUUAUUCUGCAUAUGGGAUUUUUUUCCUAGACUUGUUUAGCCCUCAGUAUAAAUGAAAAGUUCUUUUCUGUCUGGUUGUUGAGACUUCAGAUUUUGUGGUUGCAGCACUCUCUCUACUGUCAUAAUCCUUUGGAAUAAAAUCUCUUUACCUAAA